AUGAGAGGUGUACCAUGUAACCAUGCUGUAUGUGCAAUCUAUAAAUUAAAACAAAAACCAGAAGAUUUUGUCCAUGAGUUCUUCAAGAAGCCUAUGUACCUAGAAGCUUACCCGCCAAUGAUCUACCCAGUUCUUGGGCCUGACCUAUGGACAAGGACAUACACUAGAGACAUAGACCCUCCUGUGUUCCAUAAGAAGAAGGGCAGAAAUCAGACUCAAAGAAGAAAGGGUCAAUUCGAAGUGCCAAAACCCAAGGACAGUUCAAGAGUUGGAACCAUCACCUACAACAACUGCGAGAAGCAAGGGCAUAGAUACACAAACUGUGGUGAUCAAUUGAAGCCAUCCCUUGCUGCUAGGAAGAAUAAGCACAAGGAAACAAGAACUGCCCCUCCAUCAACUGCUGCCACAUCAACACCAGCAUCAUCUGGUGCAAGAGCUACUGCUGUAGCUUCUGGUACCACAAAAGCAGCAACAACAUCAUCAUCUACUGCAAGAGCUACUACUGCAUCUUUUGGUGCAAGAGUUGCUCCUUCUUAUGCUCCCAGAGCUGCUCCUUCUUAUGCUCCCAGAGCUACAACUGCUCCCAGAGCUGUUGCAUCCUCAUCUGCUCCAACAGCUGCUCCUUCCUCAUCUGCUCCAAGAACUAUUGCUUCCUCAUCUGCUCCAAGAAGAGCUGGUUCUUCUUCAUUUGCUCCUCCAAGGCCUGAUACUGCUAGUGCAUCUGGUUCUACAAGGGUCAGGAAGAAGCCAAGCAAGUUUAGAGUCUACUUCUAUGCUAGUGGCAAUUAG
rnacentral:rRNA from 1 species